rnacentral:tRNA from 1 species
CAAAACGUAGCUUAAUACCUAAAGCAUCCGGCUUACACCCGGAAGACUUCAUACCACUCGAACGUUUUGA